UGAGGGUUCGGGUAAGCGGUAGUUCCUGCUUAGUUCCUCAUUGCUAGCGACAGACUACGAGUUCAGGACAGGAACUGGGAGGCAUCCGAAUAAUAGGACAAGGCAGUGGCCCUUCAGUCAGUGUGAACGCACGGUCGGAGACGGACGGACGCACUGCCUCUGCACAGCGCACGUGGUCGCCAGUCUGUAGCGUGGCAACCUGGUGAAAAGUCGAUCUCUUCUGACUCCUCCUGCGGGAUACUUCUAGGUGACUCGUCAAGAUUUCGAUUUCAUUCCGGAAACUCUGGAAGUGUGAUGAAUCAGUUUUUUACCAACGAGCGCGAUCAUCAUUGCCCCCGAUUGCAUAUUAGUCUGACGCCCACCAGCAGUAGAGAAAUACACAGCUGAAGGAAGAGGAACAGAGAGGGACGGACGGAAAGCGAUCAGUCCACUCAAGGAGAUAAGGAGAAAUUCCGGUCGUCAGCACAUUGAAGAAUUCGGGAAAGAUGAAGCGAAUCUUUCUCCACGUCGUGCUCUGUGCCUCAUUCGCGUCUUCGAUCAAAUCAGCUUCUGCAUCCAUGGACCUCAGCCAGCAGGAGGAACCAGAGCAGACCAGCAUAGCCCCCAGCAGGAGAAAACGCUCAGUCUUCCACCUGUUCAACAUGAUGACCUGUGCCACAGACUGCAACCCUUUAGAUUACAAGGGCUAUGGGUGCUACUGCGGUUUCCUGGGCUCUGGCGUUGUGGUGGAUGGCAUUGAUAAGUGCUGCGCCAGACAUGACUGGUGUUACAAUCAAGCUCGGUGUCCCCUUAUUCUCACGUACUUUGCCUCAUACAUCUGGACCUGUCAUCGCCGGCAGCCCAGAUGUGUACCUACAAAAGGCCCACUUGGAGGUCCUAAUAGCUGCGGCCAUCAACUCUGCGAAUGCGACCGAGAGUUUGUUGAAUGCCUGAAGCAGCACCCCUGCCCCAGGACCAAAGCCAUGUGCAUGACUUCACCCUGGAGGUACUGGCAGAACCUCUUCAUGGGCAUGUCUAGUGGGAUGGGAAUGCACCACCCACCCCAUGAGGAACAUGCCCAUGACCAUCCCAAUGAAACUUUCUAAAAUCCUGGAAGGAUGAGCUGGUUGGGGCACCCUUGAUAGAACCUACUACUUGAUUUAUUUUAGGACUCUUUUGUCAGAAAACCACUAUGAUGGCCCUAGGUUUCUCUAAGAAAUACAAUAUUCUUCGGGAAAAUGGGACGUGAAGCUACCAUAGCUCUCCAGACACUUCUAUAGUCAAUGCCAGGCCAGGGGACUGACCUUGUUCUCGACUCAAACAAGAUAACUCUCACUGUGAUAAUUGACGCAGUUGUGACGGCACAACAAGACACCAGAUGACAUGCUACACAGAUAUGGACUUUUAAGAAUGCGAAUAAUGACAAGGACAUAAUUUUUUUCAUUUUCAGAAUAAAGGGAAGUUGUGAAUGACUCUUGUGAUGUUUAGUGUGAAUGAAAACACUGCCACUUCUAUUUAUUUUUAAUUGUUUAAGUGUUUUUUUUUUUCUAACAAGUUUACCUCUAAUAUCCCAUGGUUUUAGGAACAAAUAUAUAUCAUAGUUGCUGUCCUCAGGAAUAAGUAAACAAAAAUACCUCAGGACUAAAAACUUUUCAUAGCUGUAAUUGAGCCAUCUAUUUUUGUUUGGAAAUACGUCCUUUUUUGGGGGGGCUUUAAGCUUUUGUAUUAUGCUGCAGAACAAUCCUUCCCAUAUUCACAGAUUACAUCAUUAUAUAUGUAUGCAGUAUAGUGUAUGGAAGUUCCCAGUUAUUAUAGAAUAUAGGUAAGCUGUGUUCCUUUCACUGGAAGUUGAUUAUCUUUUGAGUGAUUUUCAUUCUUCUUUUCUCAUUUUCUAUUACUUGAGUGUAUACUUGAUGAGCUUACUUGUACUUUUUUGUAUUAAUUAUCAUGAAAUUAUAAGUUAUGAAAGUGCAGCACAAACCCUUAUAAAUUAUGUGGAAGUGUGUGGUAAGAAUGAGUACAGGAUAAGUGAGUGUUGCUAAGAACAUUUAAGAUAUUAAUAAUUUGUCUCAAGAGUUAUCUACACCUGUUAGAGGUCUCACUAGAUGACACAUAUUGUGGAGGACAGAUAAAGAGAAUGACUUUCAGAAAUCACUCCAAGGAAAGACAUCAUCAAAUAGCAUUUCUGUAUGCGAGUCAGAACCUGGGAAAUUUAGGUCAGGAAGACAGGACAGGAAGUCUUUAAAGGUUAAGGAAAAAGGAGCAAAUAUUUGAAUUAUUUGAAGCUACUGGCAAACAAAGACCAUUAGAUGGGCAGUUUUCCAUGAAUCGAAUGUUUUCUCUAUAUUUCUUAUAAUGGAUAUAAAAUAUAGCCUACAGUAAUGUAACAACAUUUGAUAAUUGUGCUUCACUGUCAUACAUGGAAUUCUGAAAGUGUCGAUGCUAACUUUUACAAUUUACUUAGAAAUGCUCAUAUUUUUAGUGCUUUUCACAAUUAAAAAAUCCCCACUUUAUUUUCUCUGUCCAUAUGAACAUACAUAUUGGCCAGUCAUAGUAAAACAACUGAUAUAUAUAUAUAUAUAUAUAUAUAUAUAUAUAUAUAUAUAUAUAUAUAUAUAUAUAUAUAUAUAAUUCUGUAUUCUCUAUCUGACUUUUCUUUCAUUAAUCAUCUACAAAUUUUGGUAAAAUGGGAAUUUCAUAUUAUGUAAGACGAGUUAUAUAUGAAUUCAAAUCCACCUGUACUAGUAGAAUACAAUAAUACCUGUACAAGAAUCAGGGCAUUUAUAAGUAACAUAGGAAGAUUUUCUGUUGUUAAGAAGUUAGCUUAUAGCUGCCUAAUUUAUGAGGGAAUAUAUGCUCUGCUUACAGUACUUACAGUUUGUCAGUUUUGAGGUUGCAUAAUUUUCCAAUAGGUAGAGUAAUAUAACAAAGAAAUCUGUACUUGGGAUAUGAUUAUUUGUAUUAAGGAUAUGAUUAUUUAUAUUAAGAUAGUGUUAUUUGUUCCAUCAAAUAAGUCUCGCAGUUAAGUUGUUGCAGUAUAUUUAUCUUUAUCAUUAUCAUUUUAUCUUGAUUUUUGGAUUGCAAAAUCUACUGCUAUUUAAAAGAAAAGCUUAAGUAACUUCAAAAAGAGCAGUCCAAGGAGUAACUAGAAAAAUAGUCAAAUCUUUAUAUUAUUCUUUGCUCUUAUUGCUUUAUACAGCCCGUGUAUAUAUUGAAAGGCUGAGAUAUUUUACAAUAAACACAUUUGAGUCCUGGUGUAGGAUAAGCAGGAGAAAAGAAAGACUUUUUUUGUUUCUUUUACUCAUGAAAUAAAAAUACCUAUCAGUUUAAAGGAAAUGUAAUAGCAGAAAGGUAGAGUGAAUGUGAUGAAUUUAUAGUGACUGCAGCUAUCUCAAGAACCCUGCAAAAAUAAGACUAGGAUUCCAUUUACAUUAAGUAAUUUAAGAUAAACUACAUUGCUGAGUGGAAGAGAAUGAAUCCUUUUAAUGUUUCUGAAAAUGUGUCUACUACAUGGAAAUGAGAAAGAUAGUUCCACUAAAUCAAAAGAUUCUUACUAAUAAUUCUAGAAUUAAAUUUGUUUAGUAAAUCAUAAUAAGACACAUUAAAUGGUAUACAUAUCCACCUUUCAUAUACUCUAGAUAUAUAAGUUAUCCUGAUCUUCUCUGAACUUUGCAAGGAAUCAUUCUCAUUCUGAGUGUACUGAAGAUGCAGUACAAACAGCAAGUGAAAAGGGAUUUGGGGCAUUAUAAAUUAUUUUAAAAAUUUGUGUAUAUAUGUAUAUUAGUAACUGUAUCUGUGAAUGAUGGUCAAUCAUGAGUAUUUAACAAUGUCUAUUUUGUGUGUAAAAUAAAUUAGGAUCUAAGAACUGGUGGUACCUUACAGGCACCUCCAGACUGUGUGUAUAUAGAGUGUAAAAAGUGUAUAAAAUAUAUGAUUUUUCUGUAACUGUAUGAUAUUUCCUCCUAAUCUUUCAUAUGUCACAUUACAUAUAACAGUAUUAUGGAGAUGCUGAAGACAACCAUUCUAAUACUGUGUCUCAGAUGAAUUGUUGGCAUUUACAAACCAUUAAAGACAUUAAUA